rnacentral:rRNA from 1 species
UACAGAGACUGCAAGCGCUAAUCGGAAUUACUGGGCGUAAAGUGUGCGCAGGCGUCGUUGCAAGUCGAGUGUGAAAUCCCCGAGCUUAACUUGGGAAUUGCGCUCGAAACUACGAUGCUCGAGUAUGGCAGAGGAAGGUGGAAUUCCACGUGUAGCGGUGAAAUGCGUAGAGAUGUGGAGGAACACCGAUGGCGAAGGCAGCCUUCUGGGCCAAUACUGACGCUCAUGCACGAAAGCGUGGGGAGCAAACAGG